AAAACUUUCAACAACGGAUCUCUUGGUUCUGGCAUCGAUGAAAAACGCAGCGAAAUGCGAUAAGUAAUGUGAAUUGCAAAAUUCAGUGAAUCAUCGAAUCUUUGAACGCACAUUGCGCCCGCUGGAAUUCCAGCGGGCAUGCCUGUUCGAGCGUCAUU
rnacentral:rRNA from 1 species